rnacentral:lncRNA from 1 species
CAGGGAGGGGCUUUUUAUAGGGUUUGGCCUUUGUUCGGUGAUUCUAAGAAGGAAUGGUUAGUCUUUUUUUUUCCAACUACGGUACAGCAUUAAUUAUGUUUGGUUAGAAACAUUGUUCUGUUGGCCUUUCUGUGUCCUGUCGAAAACAUUGUUUAUCACAGUCUGACUGCUGGCAGAGUUUCUCAAGCUCUGAUUAGAAUUAAGGGUCCUGUUUGGGGAAAGUAACUGCAUAGAAGGCCAUAGAAAAGGCUCAGUAGGACUGUAGUUCCAGAGGAGCACUCUGUGAAAAUUUCAACCACAGCAGAGGAAAAUGGGGACUUCGACUUGUAUGGAGAUAGGAGGCUGCUCGGCCGCUGUGAAAAAUCUAAGGGGAGCCCUGCAUCAGAUAUCCAGAAGCUGUUUCCUGCAUUUCCAAGGAUGCUGUGCCCUGUAAGAAGAUUUAGAGAUGUGUGAGAGACGUAGGGACGUGAGGAGAGAACAGCAAAAUUAUAUAAAGUGUUUACAUCACCGGAACAGGAGGAGGGACACACCCAACAGCUGUAGAAGCAGGAAAUAUCUAAUACAAAACUAAAGUACAAAAACAUGAAAACAGAGUCUUUGCGCAUAUUUUGUUCCUGCUGACUGCCUUGAAAAAGUCUACAUUUCCUAUACAUAUGAUUGGGAAUGGGGAGGGCUUGGUUCUCCUUGUGCAACAUAUUCAGCAUGAUUUAGGCAGUUUUAUCUCUGCAAAUUUAUUGUUUCCUUUGGAGAAGUAUUCAUUUUCUAAAUCACAUCUCAGAAGUAUCAAGAGUUAUGUACCACAGGACAGCAGGGGGCAAUUAUAGAAGUCAGAUUCACGUCAAGCCAGAGUACAUUCUGUGAGGAGGAACUGACCCAGGCUUGGCAAGUGUCAGCUUGAAUUAACCUUUUUUUUUUUUUUUUUUUUUGCCAGGAGUCUCCCUCUGUCGCCCAGGCUGGAGUGCAAUGGCACAAUCUCAGCUCACUGCAACCUCCACUUCCCCAGUUCAAGUGAUUCUCCUGCCUCAGCCUCCCGAGUAGCUGGCAUUACGGGUGCGUGCCACCACGCCCACCUAAUUUUUGUAUUUUUAGUUGAGACAGGGUUUCGCCAUGUUGGCCAGACUGGUCUCAAACUCCUGACCUCAAGUGAUCUGCCCGCCUCAGCCUCCCGAAGUGCUGAGAUUACAGGCGUGAGCCAUCGUGCCCGGACUUAAAUUAACUAUUAAUAGGGAUAUUUAGAACUGAAAAAUACACAUUUUGAGGAAUGUGACAAAAAGUGUCCUUAUUUUUCAUAAUUGAUAUGGUUAUGGAUGGCUAAUGACCUGUGUGCUAUAGGAUCUGUGUAUCUUGUGUGGGGAUGCUGCAUUCUAACUCUAGAACCGGCCAAUUGCCUUGUAAGGGGAGGAUGAGUAAUAUAGUUUUAGAGAAGAGAUUAUUUCUCUCUAAAGAAAGUGAAACUUAGAUAAGAAACAGAAAUUUAGCCCGGGCGUGGUGGCUCACACCUGUAAUCCCAGCACUUU